UCCCCGCGAGUGUUCGGGCGUCAAACCCCCGGCGCGGAAUGAAAGUGAACGGAGGUGGGACCCCCGCGAGGGGCGCACCAUCGACCGAUCCUGAUGUCUUCGGAUGGAUUUGAGUACGAGCGCGGCCGUUGGGACCCGAAAGAUGGUGAACUAUGCCUGGGUAGGGUGAAGCCAGAGGAAACUCUGGUGGAGGCUCGCAGCGGUUCUGACGUGCAAAUCGAUCGUCAAACCUGGGCAUAGGGGCGAAAGACUAAUCGAACCAUCUAGUAGCUGGUUCCUGUCGAAGUUUCCCUCAGGAUAGCAGUCGCGCGGGCGGUUUUAUGAGGUAAAGCGAAUGAUUAGAGGCCUUGGGGGUGCAACACCCUUAACCUAUUCUCAAACUUUAAAUAUGUAAGAAGCCCCUGUUGCUUCGGUGAACGGGGGCGUGCGAACGCGGCGCGGCUAGUGGGCCAUUUUUGGUAAGCAGAACUGGCGAUGCGGGAUGAACCGAACGCGGGGUUAAGGUGCCGGAAUGCACGCUCAUCAGACACCACAAAAGAUGUCAAUUCAUCCGGACAGCCGGACGGUGGCCAUGGAAGCCGGAACCCGCCNAGGAGUGCGUAACA
rnacentral:rRNA from 1 species